rnacentral:lncRNA from 1 species
UCAUGGCAAGUGAAAGACAAUUAUACUUUCUGAACCCUACUACCAACACAGAAAAAACUAAAAUGGAAAACUCAUACUACGAUUCAACAAAUAACUUGUGGAGUCUCUAAAAGCCGUUUCCCUUCAAUGCACAGAAGUAUGAGAAGGUAUAUUCCAGCAAAGAAAUGGUUGGAAUUCAGGGGAAGUGGAGUUUAUUCGAGGCAGUAAUAUUUCCUUGAACUUCCAGAGCCACUGAUUCAGAACGUCCAGCUCUUUUCUAAUUUAUAGUGUGUUCUUCGUGUCUGGCUGCCUGUUUAGCUGAAGGAUCCUGUCCCUGGAAGGAAUUCAUUUGACUUCUGAAAGAGUCCCAGAAGGAACUAAGGGAUGUGCAUUUCAAAUAAAACAGGCAGAAUGGAACUCAAAACACUUUAGACAAAUAGCAAGAUAUUUAGGAAAGGAUAUAAUUAAUCCAGAACACUUCUGCAAUAUUUCAGCCUAAACAUACUUCCUCUUAAGGAACAAAAAAAUCUUGAAAGAGAUUUCUGAACUAUAUGGGCUAAACUUUAAACUGAAGUACAAAGCAAAGCUUACAGGAAAUAGGAAGACCUUGGAGAAAUCUAGAAAUAUACUCUAACUUAGUAGAGUCAGUUAUUAAAUAUUUAACUUUCUCCCACAGGCUUAAAAAAAGAUCAAUUUUCCCUCUGGC